UCUCCCCACCAAAACCUCUUAUAAUCAUAGUUAUUUUAAAAAAGAAUGCAUGCUUUUCUAGGUUUGUUCUAUGGGUUUUCGGUUUUUUUACUUCCUGGUCUGAUCUAUAUUCCUCUAUUUCACUCUCACGUCUCCUUCUCUCUCUCCACUUUCGUUUUCUCCCAUAAUUAACUCUCUUAUCAAUAGGAAACACUCUUUCGAUUCUAUCCUAUUAUUCCUAUUUCCCCCUCUCUAUCACUUUACUCUCUUACCAAUAAGAAACUUCUUGGAUUUUAUCCUAUCUCCCCCUCCUCUCUCCUUCUAAAUCAAUUUCACUCUCACGUCCCCUUCUCUCUCUCCACUUUCGUUUUCUUCUAUAAUUAACUCUUCUACCAAUAGGAAACUCUUUAGAUUAUAUCCUAUUAUUCUUAUUUCCCCUUCUAUCUCUCACUUUACUCUCUUACCAAUAAGAAACUCCUUGGAUUCUAUCCUAUCUCCCCCUCCUCUCUCCUUCUAAAUCAAUUUCACUCUUUCUAAUUCGUCUCUCUCCCACCUUACCAAUAGGAAACCUAUUCUCUCUUUUCAUUCUUUACAUCUUUCUCAUAUCUCUCCAAUAGAAAACAUUUCUUUCUAUAUAGAUUCCCUAUCUCCAAUGCAUCUCUCCUUCUUUUACUAAUAGGAAACCUACUUUCUUUCCAUCUUUUUCUCCUUCCUUUUGCAAUAAGAACCUCCUUAGAUCUCCCCAACGAGACCUCUUAUGCAUGACAGUCUGGAAGAAAUAGUUAUUUUAAAAAAGUAUGCAUGCUUUUCUAAGUUAGUUCUAUGGGUUCUCUCCAUUUUUCUAUUUCCUGGUUUGAUCUGUUUCCACUAUUUUCUCUCUUUGAAUCAGCGUUGCAUCCAGUUGAUUCAAAUAUCAGUAUUUGUGUGCUCAAUGAUUAUCUUUGAUUGAUUCAAUCUUGCAAAUGCUUUGUUCUUCAUUUUGAUUUGAAUAUUUUGAUUGAGAUACUGAGCGAUUUUCAUUCUUUUAUUGUCUUCUCUUACUUUACCUUUGAGUUUCAUUUAAUACGAUCAAGGAAGCUUAGCUAAUAAUUUUCUAUCACUUGGUUUCAUGGAGGAGGGGAAGUAUUUAUUCAUCAAGUGCCAAUAAUUAAGGCUUUUAAGAGGAAAAUGUAUAUCUGAAUAGCGGAAAACAAAGAAGGAAUCGACUCCAUUGAAGGUAUUUUUGUUAAUUUGUUCUAAAUUUGGGAAUUACUGUUUUUUAAUUGGUUGAUUCGGUAGCGUCUCUGAUAAAUUCUGGUGAUGGUUGAGGGGUAAUUUAUGUCUUCAAAGUUCUGGUUUGAAUCAGUCAAGCCCGAUCCUGGUUCAAGCUGCUUCAAAUCACCUCUAGCUCCUUACAGCUUUAACCAUGGAACCAAACAUACACAGACCUGCAUCUCAUGGGAACGUUUACAUAAAUAAACGUUCAUUAUUUGAAUAUAAGGAAUAUAUUCAUUAUUCCUUUGCUUCCAGAACUUUACUCAUUUUUUUCUUGUUUGCAAGAAUACUGCUCUUUGAUGCCAACCUCAUCUCUUUUCAUUUUUUUUCCUUCUCUUUCUUCUCUGCAGCAAGAGCUGCUGUUGCAGCAGCUGAGACAGCAUCUGGUAAUGACCACUGUUAAGUUAAAAUGGGAACUGGAAAAAUAACAAAAAUGUAUGAUACGGGUUUUAAACAAAUAAAAACGAUGAAUAGUAUAAUAAAAAAAAGGAAAUGUCAAAUGGACGAAAACACGAGUAUUAAAAUAAAACAAAAAAAAAUCCAGUAUACUCAUGUAAUUUGAGAGAUUAUUACCUAUACAAUUUAUAACCGAUUUGAUUUUUCCUCAAUCAACCUAAGGGUACACUUUGCUUGCCAAAAAAGAAAAAAGAAAUCUGGAAAUGGUCAUGAUUCAUGAACAAGAUCACCCUCAUCGACACUACCUGAAACAAAUGUAUCCACAAUUCCACAUGCAUAAAAGCCAUGGUAAAUGCUCUAAGAAUUCCAUUGUCUACUUGGAAAUAUAUGGCUACAUUGUUGGCAGCUUCCGAAGAACACAUUUGGGAAUAAUUGUUUAUUCAAGCCAUUUUGGAAUAAGCUUUCUCUAUUAAAGCUUAUCGGUAGAUUAUUGUUAAAGGGUUGCCGCUUCCUUUUUUGUUAUUACAGUCAAUUUAUCCCAAUAGUUGAUAGAUGAAAGUAUCAUUGUGCUCAUCUUAAAAAUAUGAACAUCUAAAGAAAACCAAGAAGAAGAAUAAUAUAAAAAAAACACACACACACACACAAAUUUCAAAUGGUAAAUAGAGGCAUACGGAAAAAUGAGUUUUAAACGGUUACAAACGGCAACUGCGCUUUAAACGCAUUUUAACUAACAGUGGUAAUGACGCAGUCUUCUCAUUUGAUGUUAUUGUAGCAGCAGGUGCAGAUGUCACAACCUUUCUGUUACUUGCACCAUCAGAUACCUUUGGUUCAUUUUCUGCCUUUCCAGAUCCCUUGUCAUUCUGAUCACCACAAGGGACAUACUGCUGAGUUUGCUGAUCAUAAGAACACCAAGCUCCGCUGUUACUAUCAUAAUAAAGAUCAGCAUCAUUUACAAAGUAAAAAUAAGAUCGAUCUGUUUCAAUAAUAUAUUGUUCUGGUAAUGAGUAAAUCAUCAUACAUUCAAACCCAUAUGAGUGAUCAAGAUAUAGCUGUCACUAUUAGAUUGACAACUGAACAUAUUAUACCAUGAAAGUGAGUCGGGGAUAUAAUGGUGCCUGGAGGUGUAGACUUUCUUACAUUGCUCGUGUUUGUUAGGCUUAAGAUUUAUUUGCUCUUCUUUCUUUCUACCAGAUGUUGAUUUUUCACAUAGAAGGGGCUGCCAGAUGACUACCCAAAUUGUUGUCGGAAAAAGAAUUUUGGAUACAGAGACAAAAUUAGAUUUGUUCUUCCAAGAGUGUAGUCUUGUAUUGCUUGUGGUAACUGUUGCAUGGACUUUUCAAAUCGAUUGUAUAGUUAUGUUAAUGCAUGUUAGAUUAUGAUACACCAAUGAAUUUCUUGGGAAAUGGCUACAAAUUUCAUGGCCUUCUUUUGCUUGUUUGUCUGAAAGAAAUGAGCAUCUAGCAAGUAUUAUAAACCCCAUCCUUUCUUA